GGCAUGAUGGCCGAGUGGUCUAAGGCGGUAGAUUUAAGAGCCCUCAUUGGCUAAACCUCUACUGGGGCAACCCGCGUGAGUUCGAACCUCACUCAUGUCA